GUAUUGGGGUUGGAUUAGAGUUGUAGUUGAUUCUCAUCCUCUUCCAUCUAGAGUUUAAAGAGAUCAGGUUAACUGAGGGCUGUGAAGGGAAUGUGGAGGUUUUCUACAAUGGAUCCUGGGGUAAUGUGUGCUGGAACCAGAUGGACAGAGACACAGUGAGUCUGAUCUGUCAAGAGCUGAACUGUGGAAGAUCUGGCAGUGAACCCAGUAAUUCAGAGGGACUGAAGUCUCAUAAUUGGCUCGAUUAUUUUAAUUGUCGACGUCAUGAUUCCACUCUAUGGCAGUGUCCAUCUUCACCCUGGGGACAGAAUGACUGUGAUAAUGAAGUGGCCAAGAUCACCUGCUCAGGUAAGAUAAUAUAUAUCUGAUUUAAGAUAGUUUGAAGUGGUUGUGUUUUGUUUAAAUAUGUUUUUUUUUUUCUUUUAAUGAUUUUUCUCUUCGUUGGUGAAUUAAAUUUUAACUUGUAAUCUCAGAGGAGCAGACUCAAGAGUCUCCUCAGAGUAAUCUGACAUGUUCUACCUCACUAUCUCCUCACCAGAGACAGUGUUCAAAUCAUGUUCCUCUCAGACUGAGUGGAGGGGAGGGCCGGUGCUCUGGGAGGCUGGAGGUGUAUCAUAACGCUGUGUGGGGCUCAGUCUGUGAUGAUCUGUGGGACAUCAGCGAUGCUCAGGUGGUCUGCAGGCAGCUGGGUUGUGGAGCAGCAGUGAGGGCUGAUGGGAAUUCAGCCUUUGGUGCUGGUGAAGGUGUUGUGUGGCUGAACAGAGUCGAGUGCAGAGGGAAUGAGAUUCACCUGUGGGACUGUCCUCUCUCCCUGAAGAACCACACUGACUGCUCCAACAAAGAGCACGCUGGACUCACCUGUGCAGGUCACAACAAAACACUGAGCAAUAUUAGUUAUUUUUACAUCAUUUUAAUGCUAAUAAUUUUGUAAAUAUUAAUCAAUCAUUUGUAUUAUUUUGAAUAUGUCUUUGUCUGUUUUGCCAGAUUUGUCAGUAUCCACUACUCCUUCCACAACAGCAUCAGUCUCUCCUCCAGUUUCUCAGACAGUGCUCUCAACAUCUUCUCCUCCAGUUUCUCAGACAGUGAGCUCAACAUCAGUCUCUCGUCCACAAACUCCUCCAGCAGCGUCUUUCUCUGUGCUUGUGAUUGUACUGGGAGUUGUGCUCUUACUGCUCUUAGUGCCACUGCUUAUACUGAUUCAGCAGAACAGAGUGAUGAGGAGAGGUAGGAGAGAUCCAGAGACUGUCAUAUUGUGUCUUAUUCAGUGUGUGAUCAGUCAUGUGUUGUGAACUGACAGCAGGUUUGUCUCUCUACACUCACAGCUCUCUCUAAGAGGAGACACAGGAGCACGACUGAGGCCGUUUAUGAGGAGAUUCAUCACAGACCCACUAACAGACACAAUCUCUUCACUCAGAGCGACAGGGCGAAUGAAAUCACACCAGAAUACUAUGAUGAUGUCAUCACUGAUGGACUGAAACCAGAACGUGAAACAGAAGACACACCUGGGAGCUAUGAAGAUGUCAUCACCAGUGAACAGAACUCUGUGGACAUGCCAGAGAACUAUGAUGAUGUCAUCAUUAAUGGACAGGACACUGAAGCUGUAACGGAGGGAGAUCAGGAGGAGUAUGAUGAUGUGAAGAACAGCAGUGAAGAUGAGAGAAACCUGUUGGACUAUGAUGAUGUGGGGGAGGAGUCAAAAAAUGAGGACGUGACUGUAUGACUCAAUGGCCACACCCACUGCCUCGGUUCAUGAAGUUUUACAGCUUCAUGAGUUGUUUUGAGUUAAUCUUACAUAGCUACUUUGUUUUAAUAUUAGUUUUUAUUGAUGUGCUUGCAUUUUGUAAAAUGAAGUACUUUGAAAUUUAUAGGCCUAUAACUUUGAUUCUAUUUUGCUUUUCUUUCACAAGCACAUUUUAAUGAUUAUAAAACCAAUGAAAAACAUGAUACAAAACAUCAUAAAAAUCACAUUGUUUUUUUAUGUAGUCACAGAUUUUGCAAGGGGUGUGUAAACUUUUGAGCACAACUAUCUAAUUAAAACAACUAAAGAAAUAAAUUGGUCUUAUUUUUUUAUUUUUUGUUUAUUUAUUUAAGCCAGAAGCAAAACAUUGUAUCCAACCUGAAACUGUUUGCACAAGUAUUGAGUCAGAGAGGCUGUUUUGUCCAAGUAUAGGUUAUUAAUAAAUUAAUAUGGACACAGUUGCAUUACAUGUCUGGUAGAAGAAAAGUAUUGCAUGUCUUACCCAAAAGAUACGAGUCACACUGUGUACUUUGAAUACUUACUGAAUGCAAACCACAUAUUUACGUUUCAGCACAUUGAAAUCAGUUGUGUGAUUUCAGGCAGCUGCUGGGAAGAAAGUGAACAACAGCUGUUCUUCUUUGGAUUAAUCAGUGUUUUACAGCUAAUAGAAAAGGUAGGGACGUUGUAGCAACACUUGUUAUCACGUCCAAAUAAAUAGGCUACAACAUAUAAAAGUAAAUGUUUUGUACAUGUGUUUAACAGUAACAUGAAAACAGUCCCCACCCUGUAGAAUUUGUUCAGUUUAUAUGUCAAUCUAAGAAAUUUGCUUGGGGAAAAAAAGUAGUUGAAAGAGGAUGUUUCUCCUUUUUGCUGAGCAUAGUCUAAAAAAAGAUGGUUCCUUAAAGGUUCUUUACAUAAAGCAACAGUUCUAUUAAGAACCGUAUCGUCCCGAAAAACCCUUUAAAUGCUGAAAUGGUUCUUUGUGUUGGAGUUUAGGGUUCUUUAUUCCCACCUUUUUGUUUUUCAAAACUGUAACUGUCAAAACCACCUCAUUACUGAUUUUCUGGAGCUCAACCAUUUAAUUACACAGACUGUCAA